rnacentral:rRNA from 1 species
GACGAACGCUGGCGGCGUGCUUAACACAUGCAAGUCGAACGGAAAGGCCUGCUUUCCCUUGUGGAUUGCGGGUACUCGAGUGGCGAACGGGUGAGUAACACGUGAGUGAUCUGCCCCCAACUUGGGUAUAAGCCUGGGAAACUGGGUCUAAUUCCCGAUAGGACUGCAGGGUGGUGCCUGUGGUGGAAAACGAUUUUCUAGUGGUUGGGGAUGAGCUCGCGGCCUAUCAGCUUGUUGGUGGGGUAAUGGCCUACCAAGGCGGCGACGGGUAGCCGGCCUGAGAGGGUGGACGGCCACAUUGGGACUGAGAUACGGCCCAGACUCCUACGAGAGGCAGCAGUGGGGAAUAUUGCACAAUGGGCGGAAGCCUGAUGCAGCGACGCCGCGUGGGGGAUGACGGCCUUCGGGUUGUAAACUCCUUUCGACCGCGAGGAAGCCACCUGGUUGGAAGGGUGGUGACGGUAGUGGUAGAAGAAGCACCGGCUAACUACGU